AGGAAUUCCAGCUAGAUUGACUUGAAGCAGUUUUUUAGUUAUUAGGUGAAUCAAGUACCAUCUUUCAGAUUAAGGAAACAGUUCUUAAAGAUUUAAUUGUCCACAGGGGUAUUUACAAUGCAAUAAAAUCACAUAGUUGGACUCUUUUGGCCACAUAAAAAUAAAAGCAUACUCCUAAUAUUUUUAAGGUGCAAAGACUGAAGAAAAUAAGAGUUUAACU
rnacentral:misc_RNA from 1 species